GUCCAAAGUCUGCAUUAUUGGGAUAUGUCAUCCUGAUUCUCUCAUAUUUGAAUAUGUAUAUGAGAUAUCUCGAACCGGAUUUCCGGACAGUGAACACUUUAACAUAUUAAUUAUCACACUUCCCUAGUUCCACUUUUUUUUUUUCUUAUUGUUUUCCCCUUGAUGCAAGAAAUAUUAAAUACUAUAAAACCUCAUAAUUCAAUCAUCAUAAUAUCCAUGUCUCUCUAUAUAUACAUGCCACUCAAGUCGAUACAUUUUUCUCCCAUAUAAGUGACCCAAAAACUUGUUAUAUACGUGCGCGUAUUAAACACGUACUGAUCACAUAAUUUCGAGACCUGGGAUUGUAUGGUACGAGGUUUGGCGACGUUUGGAGUGGAAAGAGAUACGUUGAGAUCGUAAUGAGGUGCUUCCAUGGGUGGUGGGUGGUGGUUUUAGCCAUCCUAACGACAUCGCUACUGGUUUUGCCUCCAAUAUUGCCGCCACUGGCGCCACCUCCAAUGGUGCUAAUGCUCUUUCCAGUAGGAAUAUUGGCUUUCCUCGUGGCUUUGGCUUUCUUUCCAGCUAAUGCUGCAGAAGACAUCUUCAUUUAUUCCUCCAUAUAACAGAUGAAUCUGCCUUAGCAGAGUGACUCCUGGUGUAAAUGGAAUCGGAUGACUAGAUUAGGUUUGAGAGUGAAAAACUUGAUACUGCUAUAAAUCCGAUGCCACUUUGUACAAUAUGGAGAGAUGAUUAUUGAUGAUACAAAGAUGAAAAGCUUCAUUUCUGUAUUUUUUGGACUUCUUUUAAAGAAUAUAUAUGUUAUGUUGAGUUAGUUUUCUUAUCAUUCAACACUUUACUGUGAUCCUUAAACUUAGUAUGUGAAAUAAAAAUGUCGAAAGUGGCGAAGUAAAGGAAAGUGGAGGAACAAGAUGAAUAUGAAGUUAGUAUUAAUAAUAUAUCAUUCAAAAUGAAUUUUA
rnacentral:lncRNA from 1 species